UACCAUCAGCCAUCCCCACGCAUCUUUGAGCCUGGCAAAAAGGACUGACGAAAACAUUACGUCACUUUUCUUGAAUAUGAUUCGCCCUGGAAGCAGUGAAGAAGCUGCGCAUUCUGAUCGAACGGCGCAUCCUAUGCGUCACUCAUUUUCAUUUGAAACGGGGAUCUCGAGCUAAUUUUACCUUACGAUGGCGGAAAGUGAAGUAAACACUCCAAGUACACCGAUUGAGUACGACAGCAAAUAUUUCGAGUUUGAUGGCAUCCGGUUGCCACCCUUCUGCAGAGGAAAGAUGGAGGAAGUCGCUAACUUCUCCCUCAGAGGAAGCGACAUAUGGAUUAUCACCUAUCCCAAAUCAGGCACCAGUCUACUUCAAGAGGUUGUGUACCUUGUGAGUCAAGGAGCAGACGCAGAUGAAAUUGGGCUUAUGAACAUUGAUGAACAGUUACCUGUCUUAGAGUACCCUCAACCAGGCUUGGAUAUCAUUAAGGAGCUCACAUCCCCACGUCUCAUCAAAAGUCAUCUUCCCUAUCGAUUCCUUCCCACAGGAAUGCACAAUGGAGAGGCUAAGAUAAUAUACAUGGCUCGUAACCCCAAAGACCUGGUAGUAUCCUACUUUGAGUUCCACCGUUCUCUCAGGACCAUGAGCUACCGAGGAUCCUUCCAGGAGUUCUGCCAGCGCUUCAUGAAUGACAAGCUUGGAUAUGGCUCCUGGUUUGAACAUGUUUUAGAAUUCUGGGAACAUCGUAUGGAUUCGAAUGUUCUCUUCUUGAAAUAUGAGGACAUGUAUAAGGAUCUGGGAGCACUGGUGGAGCAGCUAGCCUGGUUCCUGGGUGUAUCUUGUGACAAGAAUCAGCACGAGGCUAUGGUGGAAAGUUGCAACCAACUCAUUGAACAGUGCUAUAGCUCAGAGGCGCUGUCCAUUUGCAGGGGUGAGUAGAGCCAAAAAUUGUAGAGAUGACCUCACAUACUUUUAGCCCCUCAGUAAGAAUGAGAUUAAUACAAUUCUAAGUAAAUAUCUUGAAAGUAGAAAGGUGCUUUUCAAACUUCUUGCCAUUAAGCAACCUACAUUUUCUUAUUCUAAAUUGUUGUCAAAUAUCAUAAAUGUAUAGUUUAUACUUCAGAAAAGAGGUGUCAAAACUAAUCAAUUAAUCAACAGCAAAUUGAUUGUCAAAUAAAUUGCCUUGUGUUUUGCUGAUCGAGUAAUCGUUUGGCACCUUUGUUUAACUGAAGAUUGUCCAAUUUUUCUGAUUUCAGGCUCUCAAAAGUAAUAUAUUCUCAGAUUUUUGCUAUCCUUCAUGGAACCAGACUGAUUUAGCUUUUAUACAUUUAUAAAUAAGACUUUUGCAAACAUCUUAUUCUACUUUAGAAAACAAUGACC